rnacentral:rRNA from 1 species
GCCGCGUGAGGGACGACGGCCUUCGGGUUGUAAACCUCUUUUAGCAGGAAAGAAGCGAAAGUGACGGUACCUGCAGAAAAAGCGCCGGCUAACUACGUGCCAGCAGCCGCGGUAAUACGUAGGGCGCAAGCGUUAUCCGGAAUUAUUGGGCGUAAAGAGCUCGUAGGCGGUCUGUCGCGUCUGCUGUGAAAACCCGAGGCUCAACCUCGGGCCUGCAGUGGGUACGGGCAGACUAGAGUGCGGUAGGGGAGAUUGGAAUUCCUGGUGUAGCGGUGGAAUGCGCAGAUAUCAGGAGGAACACCGAUGGCGAAGGCAGAUCUCUGGGCCGUAACUGACGCUGAGGAGCGAAAGGGUGGGGAGCAAACAGGCUUAGAUACCCUGGUAGUCCACCCCGUAAACGUUGGGAACUAGUUGUGGGGUCCAUUCCACGGAUUCCGUGACGCAGCUAACGCAUUAAGUUCCCCGCCUGGGGAGUACGGCCGCAAGGCUAAAACUCAAAGGAAUUGACGGGGACCCGCACAAGCGGCGGAGCAUGCGGAUUAAUUCGAUGCAACGCGAAGAACCUUACCAAGGCUUGACAUAUACGAGAACGCUGCAGAAAUGUAGAACUCUUUGGACACUCGUAAACAGGUGGUGCAUGGUUGUCGUCAGCUCGUGUCGUGAGAUGUUGGGGUUAAGUCCCGCA